AUGAAAAUGAAUCAUCCUAAUUCUAAACCCAGGGUUCAAUUCACUGUGACACCUAGCUAUUCUAUUAUAUAUGUGCAGUCACUCAGAGUUGGACUGGAGGGACUUGGGCUUGGACUGGAAUCAUUUAGUCACUCAGAGUUGGACUGGAAGAGACUCACUCGGGCUUGGAGUGAAGAGAGUCACUCGGAGCUGGAGGGAAGACAGACACCGAGACUUGGAGUGAAGACACUUAGCUGUGGUACUGGACCCCUGGAGGAGCUUGUGCAGGAGACCUCAGACUGCUUUCCUUUUAGACGGUAACUGUGGUGAGUAUAAAAGGCUGACUUCUUUCCUUUCCCUUUCUGGAGGUGUGAACCUCUGAGAAAGGUCCUUUUUCCUGACUGGUACCUUAGAAUUUUCUAACUGUUUCAAAGGAGGAAGCUGGAGCUUUCUCUCUCUCUCUCUCUCUCUCUCUCUCUCUCUCUCUCUCUCUCUCUCUCUCUCUCUCUCUCUCUCUCUCUCUCUCUCUCUCUCUCCUUUUCUCUCUUCCUUAAUAGCUUCUCUCUAUUGUAAAAAGAAACAACCAAAAAUUCCAUUUGACUUCAGUAAUUCAUUUUAGGAUUUAGAAAUUGAAUCCCUGGCGACCACCAAUUUAAUAUUCAAUCAAUAUAACUAAAUUUAACAUCUAGUAGGUGCUCUUCGCCAGAUUAUAUGACUGAAAACAUACAUAACCUGGUGGAUAACAUUCUUUUCAUGACUUUGUGAUGGUCCUCAGAUGGCUGAAAUAUACUUCAUUGCCAGGCUUAUACGUGCAAGCUUUUUGAAACAGGUAGGUCCUGCCAAAGUUUAUUCAUUGAUACCACAAUUCACCAUUCCAAACUGAUAGAUCCUGCCAGAGUUCAUUUAUGAUACUAUUACUCUUGAGAACUGAGGCUUACUUUUAUAUGAAGUAAUUAAAUAACAAAAUAUUUGUAAAGCACUUAUCACAGUGCCCAGCAUAUAUUAGAUGCUUAAUAAAUGCUUGUGAUCCUCCA
rnacentral:lncRNA from 1 species